GAAGAUAUUCUUUUGCCUAGAGGACAAAGAAAACGUGUCAAUUUGCAUAUAUAAAGAAUUGAGAGUCUUGCAUUUCAGCUACACAUACACACAGUACACCCAUCACGGGUGUGAUUCCGAGUGGUUUUAGACAAAGUUUAGAUGAUUUGAUGGUGCUGGUUGCUGGUACUUGUAUUAUGCUAUGCGAUCGCGAGUGGACUUACACGAUCGUGAAGAAGGAAUUUGGUGGCUUCCUUUUUGUGCUUCGCGAACACGAAAUACGAUUCACGAACGCGAAGAAGCACGGGGGUCAGAGGACUUUACCCUACGCGAACACAACACUGUAGUCGCGAACGCGAAGAGUUGCUGGGCUAGCACUUUGCCCUUCACGAACGCGGAGAGGCAAUCACGAAUGCGAAGAAGGAGUUCUAGGCUGGGGGCGAGUUGGGUAUCGCGAACGGGAUGGAUUGGACGUGAACGCGAAGCAAAGGACUGUUAGACCUUCGCGAACGCGACAAGGGGUACGCGAACACAAUGAAGGUCGGGCCUGGGCAAACUUGUUUUAAUACGAGACUUGGCUCUCAUUUCUCUCAUUUUCACUGGGGUUGGCCGAAUUUGGGGAGCUAUUUUGAGGGGAUUUUCAUCAAGAAAUACAAGGUAAAUGAAUUCUACACGCUUGUGAGCUAAAUACAUGAGUUAUAUAUGGAUUUAAGCAUGGAAAUUUGUAAAAAUUAUGGAAUUUUUGAAGAAAACCUAGAAAUUGAAUUUUAACCAUGAAAUUGGAUAUGAAAUUAGGAAUAAAUUAUAUAUUUGAGUUCCUGGUAUUAUGGGUAAUGUUUAUCUUCGAAUAUUUUCAGAAUCUGGGCACAUGUGCCUGACGGUUGACUUUGUUGACUUUACGAACGGAGUUGGAAAUUAUUAUAAAUUGAUUAAUUAUGAGUAUUGAAGUAUAUUUUUAUUAGUUUGCACGUUGUCUUUCUAGUUUCGGGUCGAUAGGCAUUGGUUUGAGAUGUUAGAGAGGCGUUGGAGCCGGUUAUGGAAUUUCAGAGAGAGGUAUGUCUCUUGCCUAACCUUGUGAGGGGGGAAUUACCCUAUAGAUGAUGUAUUUAUUAUAUGCUACUUGUUGUGGGGGCUACGUAUGCACGAGUUGACGAGAGUCCGUACAUAGCUAACAUCAUACUUAUGUCUGGGUCGACUUAGGACUAUAUCAUGCGAUAUUUAUACUACCUGAACACAACUUGUUACUUUAAUUACCCAAACUUGUAAAUGUAAUUUGAUUAGAGAUCAUGCUAGGUCGAAUCUUGAAACCUUGUUUGGCGGGAUAUCAGACUGCUGGUAACAAUUAUGCUUAUUUUAUGUUCCUGUUCUUGUGUUGCAAACACGUGACCCGUCAUUCGAUAAGUUUCUCCCUUUCUUGUGGAUCUGGCAGAAUGCCUUAGCAGUAUAUUGAGAUGCAUCUAUAAUUCGCGCCGGUCGACUCUCGGCAGUGUACACACUAUUCUGGAUUGGGCCGUACGACCUCGGCAUAACCCGUGCAUAAUAUCGCGAGGAGUCCAAAUAUUCAUGAGAUUCUUCUUUGAUUAGAAUCUGGCAGUUACAUGAGAUGCCUUAUUUGUUGAGAUAAGGCUUGAUAUCCUUUACCCGUUUGAGGUAGCCUUUGAUUCUUUUAUUUGUUAAGAUAGUACAUGAGAUAUGAGGAAUUUAUGUUGUCACCAGGUUGGAGGAUUAUGUUAGUUACAAUUCUUACCUCAUUAUUACUGUUGUAUUUCAUAUAUAUUUAUAAUUUAUUAUAUUGAUAUAUUGGAUCACUAGUCAGUGUCAAUGUCGACCCCUCGUCACUUUUUUUUCGGGGUUAUGCUAGAUACUUACUAGGUACGCGUUGAUAUACGUAUCCAUGCUAUACUUCUGUACUAAUUGUGCAGGAUCUGACAAGUUCAUUUAGUGGUCAUUUUGACGCGUAUGUGCAACUGCUGGGGGAAUUGUAAGCUGCAUUCUAUGCUAUGUUCCACAUCACACGGGGUCUCCAUCAUGUUUAUUUAUAUUAUCCUGUCUAUUUUACAUUCCAAAUAGAUGUUAAUGGUUUUGCAUUAAUAUUGUCACAUUUUUAUUUUUAUAUCUUACUAAUAUUGUAUGUAUCCAUUUUAAAAGCAAUAAACCCUUUAUUUAAUAAAACUUAUGAUUUCAAAGGUAAUAAUAUGAAUAAAUAUUUAGAUGGUUUACCGUUGGCUUGCCUAACGGCGACAUUGGGCGCCAUCACGACCUAUAGUGGAUUUUCG
rnacentral:lncRNA from 1 species